GAACGCUAGCGGCAGGCUUAACACAUGGCAAGUCGAGGGGCGAGCAGGCCGUAGCAAUACGGUGCUGGCGACCGGCGCAAGGGUGCGUAACGCGUGAGCAACUUGCCCGCAACAGGAGGGAUAACCGGAGGAAACUCCGACUAAUACUGCGUAGCAACAAAGUGUGGCAUCGCAUUUUGUUUAAAGACGGAAGUCGGUUGCGGAUAGGCUCGCGUGACAUUAGGUAGACGGCGGGGUAACGGCCCACCGUGCCGACGAUGUCUAGGGGUUCUGAGAGGAAGGUCCCCCACACUGGUACUGAGACACGGACCAGACUCCUACGGGAGGCAGCAGUGAGGAAUAUUGGACAAUGGUCGGAAGACUGAUCCAGCCAUGCCGCGUGAAGGAUAAGGUCCUAUGGAUUGUAAACUUCUUUUGUGGUGGAGCAAUAAGGCGUACGUGUACGUCGAUGAGAGUACAUCACGAAUAAGCAUCGGCUAACUCCGUGCC
rnacentral:rRNA from 1 species